AGGUCAUCGGCCGCCAGCAGCCCGGAGUGGGGGGUGGGGGUGUUUCAGAGAGAGCGCCCGCCCCUCCCCAUCCCCCAAUCCUUUCUCCCUCCCCCCUUCCUUCCAGUCUCCCUUCCUCUCUCUCUCUUUUCCCUCUCCUCCACUCCCCUUUCCCCCUUCCCUUCCCCCACUCUCCCUGCCUCCCUCUUUCACCUCCUCCCUUCCCCCUCCCCAUCUUCCCCGGGCCCCUGCGGGAUCUGAAUGCCGGGAAGCCCCGGAUCGCCUUAGUGGGCCCCGAUGCGAAGGAUGCCCAGGAGGGACCCGACCUGGCGCGGACGCGUUGGUUGUUUAUAAUGCGGAGUGAUUCCUGGAAGAUUCGUACUGGGAGGCUGAGGGGAGACGGGGCUCAGGCUGGCCCCUAAACUGGACCGUGUGAAAUGAGAUGUCAGGAGGUGACCUCCACGUUCUUUUCCAGCUCGCACAAUUCUAGGAGUGACAAAGAGCUCCAUUAUCGGAGCUUCCCGGCAGCGUGGAACCCUGGAAAUGGUAUCUGGGGAGAUCUGGGUUUGAGUCCCAUCUGAUCCUGGACCAGCUGAGUGACCUUGGACAAAUCCCAGCCUCUCUGAACCUCAGUUUCCUCAUCUGUCAAGGGGAGAAGAUGGUGGCAGCUACCUCAUCGGGUGAGGUCACACACAGCAUAAAACAACCCUGGGAAUGUCAGCUAGAAUUGUUGUCAUCCUCAUCAGUUCUGUCUUUCCUGAAGGAAAUGAAAUGCGUCCAGGGCCGGGCACUGAAGGCCUCCAGCCGUGAUGGAUGUCCCCAGCCUUCCUCUCUCCUGGGGUUCCUCUAGGGCACACAAUUUCAGGUCAGGGUCAGGGCCACAGAUGCAAUCUGGGCCAGGGAACAGAGCAUUCCUCGGGACACACAGUUAGCUGGCCAGCCCAGGAGCACACGGGGCACCCAAGCCUAUUUUCUCUUAGAACAUACUAAUCCCAAACACGAGGACCUUUUUGCAGAGCCUGACCUUGCCAAAGCAAAGGAGAAAGAAAGGAGGAGGUGGGACUGCAGUGAAGUCUGGCAACUCUCCGGGAGACAGGAACCAACUAAUUAAUGUGCUAAUCGUUGUUCUUAGUUGGGAGAGCUCUCCGCAACAGGAAUAGCCUAGUUUAGAGGGGAGCUGGGUCCACACAAGAGCUAGGGCCUAAUGCCCAAUGACCAUUACCUGGUCAGGCCAGUGGAUUUCCCCACUACAAGUUUCAUCUGUACAAUGGGGUAAUAGCACCUCCAUCACAGAGUAAUUCUGAGGAAAGUGCUUUGUAAGCUACAAAAGGUACUGCACAAACAGGGAUGGAAAAAGGCCUGUGAGGUCAUUGGUAUAGGGCAGUGAUGGCGAACCUUUUAGAGGGGCAGAUGAUGUCUUUAGGCAUUCGUAGAGAAGGGGAGGAGAGCAGGCCAGCCUCAUGUCCCUCUGGCUUUCUAGUAACAAAUUCUGGUAAACUCUGUGCUGGGACGAUAGAGGACAUGCCCAUAUCUGGCACACGUGCCAUAGUCACCACCACAGGUAGAGGGAAUGCCUGGGUACAGAAACCCACUCUACUUAUGCCAGUGGGCACAUUCUCUACCAACCAUCUUAGCAAAUUGUCUCAAGCAAAAGAAUCAAGCACAAAGCCUUUCCCAAACCAAAUUAAAAAAACAAACAAAUAAAAAUAUAAUAGAACAUAAUGUUAAUAUGUGUUAUCUAAGUCAGCAUAUGAUCCUUAAGUACAAAUUAGUAGCCUUGUUUCUGAGUUUGACACCACUGGUCUAGAGACCAGAAGCCAAGGUCAGAGAGUUAUUAUGGACCAGAAAUCUUCCUGGCUUCAAGGAUGAUCCUUUCCUAAACUAGACUACCUUUGACUACAGAAAUAGGAGAUUGUUAUUAUCUUGAUUUCCCCAUCUGAAAAAAAGGAAAAUGAUUGUUUAGAUUCUAAUGGUUACAAAGGUGACAGAUGUGUGUGAGAGAGUUAGAAAUUACCUAGAGAGAUGGAUGGAUGGAUGGAUGGACGGAUGGAUGGAU